rnacentral:lncRNA from 1 species
GGGCAUGACAUUUUAUGGUAUCAGAGCGAUAGGUUUAAUCAUGGGUAGAACUUAAAACCUAACAGUGGAUAGUUAGAUUACGUAUAGUUAGACUCUGACUUAAAUGAAUAAAGAAGGAUAAUUUUUUUUUUGUUAACCGUACUAUAGCUCUGUUAUAAAAAAAUAUAAUAAUGUUAGCAUUUGACUAGGAAGCGAUCAGUGAUAGGGAGG